GCUCGGACACUUUCUUGGCACAGUGCUGCUGCUGCUGCCGCCGCCUUGCGUAGGUUAACCACCAUCCGUCCGCGCUUAAUUCUCCGUCUCCCUCCUCGCACACGACAGAGGACCGACGACGCGCACCUCUCCGUUCGUGCGGCGCGGCACAGCGCGGCGUUGCUCGUGCACUGUUUGCUACUCUGGCCAUGGCCCAUGGGUACUCUCGGCUACUCGCUUGCCACAAUGCCAUAACAUUUAGUAAACAACUAACUAACUGCUCGGGAAUUUUGCUUCUGAGACAGCGUAGCUUCGGCAAGCAACAAAGGCAGCAUCAACCUCUCUGCACUGUACUGCAUGGCGGCAUGGGCAAUCAUGGGCCUGUCUUCUGAAAAGCCGAGGUGUGUUCAAUGGCGGCAGCUUAGGCGUUUGCACAGUGCACACACACAUGUACACGGGGUGAGUACAUUGAUGGGGCUUCUCCGUGGAGAACAGCGCACAGAUCGCGAGCUCGCUCACAUGUCACAUGGUAGGUGGCCACACUGGUGCACCCCGCGCGUCGCGAAACGGGCGAGCAUGCCGAGCAGUGAAGGGGGGCGCAUGGU
rnacentral:lncRNA from 1 species